GCCUGCGGCUAUACCACCCUGAAUGAGCCCGAUCUCGUCUGAUCUCGGAAGCUAAGCAGGGACGGGCCUGGUUAGUACCUGGAUGGGAGACCGCCUGGGAAUACCAGGUGUUGUAGGCU
rnacentral:rRNA from 1 species